rnacentral:rRNA from 1 species
AUGCAACGAUCCCCAUCACAACCACUAGCAACCCCUUUGCCUCUUCCUGCCGGGAUCGGAAACCCCUUCUACGGUCCCUCCGUGGCAACCAUUAGUGAUGUUCCGAUCUCCGAGCAUGUUCCGGUGAAACUCUCUCACUCCAAGGCCAACUUCUACGCAUGGAAGACAUACUUUGAUCUUCUCUUCCGUGAGUACGAUCUUCUUGAUGAUGUCGACAGAACAGUCAAUCUCUUCGGCAUGGUUGCUGAGUGGAGGGCCAUCGACGCUACCAUGGUGCGUUGGUUCUUCCUCACUGUCUCCAAGGAGAUCCUUGGCACCUUCGUUUGUGCUGGUGACACUGCACACACGAUGUGGACCAAAAUCGCCGACCUCUUGACUGACAAUAGGCUGCAGCGCAUUGUUUGUCUUCAACAUGAGUUAUUUGGUUUACACCAGAACGACUCCUCUAUCGACGAGUACUUGAUAUGUCUUCAAUGUAUCUAUAAUUUUUUAUUGUUUCAUGCUACUAGAUUAUCAAUCUUGGAUGCUUUCUAUGCUAUUUAA